rnacentral:rRNA from 1 species
CCUACGUGUGGCAGCAGUGGGGGAUAUUGCACAAUGGGGGCAACCCUGAUGCAGCGACGCCGCGUGAGCGAUGGAGUACUUCGGUAUGUAAAGCUCUGUCAGCAGGGAAGAGAAUGACGGUACCUGACCAAGAAGCCCCGGCUAAAUACGUGCCAGCAGCCGCGGUAAUACGUAUGGGGCAAGCGUUAUCCGGAUUUACUGGGUGUAAAGGGAGCGUAGGCGGCAGGGCAAGCCUGAUGUGAAAGCCCGGGGCCCAACCCCGGGAGUGCAUUUGAAACUGCCAUGCUGGAGUGCCGGAGAGGUAAGCGGAAUUCCUAGUGUAGCGGUGAAAUGCGUAGAUAUUAGGAGGAACACCAGUGGCGGAGGCGGCUUACUGGACGGUAACUGACGCUGAGGCUCGAAAGCGUGGGGAGCAAACAGGAUUAGAUACCCUAGUAGUC